AUCCCAUGACGAGGACACUUACGAAGUAAUUCCUUGAAUAUUUCCUAUGCCACGUACAAAGAUUCGUCAUCCAAUUGUUAAAAAAUGGUUAUCUCAUUUUGCAACU
rnacentral:snoRNA from 1 species